ACUUCUGCUUGGACAGCCCAUCCUAACUCUGCCUUGCAGGAACGGCCGGGGGAAAGGGCCUGCCUGGGUUUGCCCUUCUGGUGAAUUCCAGAUGGGUGUAAUAGAAGCAGGCCUAAUCCAGGUGGCCAGUGCUAAAUUCACUUCCAGGGGUUUUAGGAAUGAGGCACAACCUUAAAACUAAGAAAUAAGAGUGCGCCUCACCUCCCAUCUUUUUGUUUUUCCAAACAAAAACUCAGUCAGAAAACUUAUCUGUGAAAGAAGGAACUGUUUGGAUGACCAGUUUUCUCCCAAACCUCUAAUGGGAUCAGUGGAGACAGCCAGAAGCCACGAUUUCGCAGUGAUCAAGAUGACCAUCUGGUAUAAAGAUCAGGGAAGAAGAUAUAUCUGUGGGUCUGGAGACCUUUGGAAUAAAAGCACAAUGCUCAGGGAUAAGAAGACACGUCUUCUAUCUUUUAAAGAAAAUACCACUCAAGUUUAGCUAGGUAAUUAAUUAAUUCACAAGUAGGUCCAAAGUGGGAGCGAUUACGGAACAAUGGCUAAUGAUAAAGAAUAAACCCUAAGACCUGAGUACUUCACCACUACGCUCUCCUGUCUCUGCACAAAGAAGGGCACAGCUUUGUGGUUUUGAAGUACCUAAAUCAACGGAGGACAAGGUACAAGUGUGUGGUGAGUUGUCAGUGGGAGACAAUGUGCAAAGGAGAGAUCGUCAUGCCUAUGAGAGAUUUCGAGGGCCGGUUCCCCAGCAAGGUCUUGGGGUAGGACUGGUGUUGGCUCCCCACGUCACAUCAGUGUCCACCGGAAACUAUGGUUGGUCUGCUUUCCGUCCAGGCCCGGACAAGCCCUCACUUCUUUACCUAAUGGGAGAAGCGAUUCUUUGCCAGCGAAGAGGGGAGCCGUCCUUAGAAAGGCGUCUCAGAGGCUGCCAUUUAUGGUGCGGAGAGAAGGCCAUAGCUACGCUUUCAAUGACACACGCACAAAAGCUAUUGUUGUGGGCACAAACAAGGAAAGUUGAACCCUU